UACGUAGGGUCCGAGCGUUGUCCGGAAUUACUGGGCGUAAAGAGCUCGUAGGUGGUUUGUCGCGUUGUUCGUGAAAACUCACAGCUCAACUGUGGGCGUGCGGGCGAUACGGGCAGACUUGAGUACUGCAAGGGAGACUGGAAUUCCUGGUGUAGCGGUGGAAUGCGCAGAUAUCAGGAGGAACACCGGUGGCGAAGGCGGGGUCUCUGGGCAGUAACUGACGCUGAGGAGCGAAAGCGUGGGGGAGCAAACAGG
rnacentral:rRNA from 1 species